AUUGAACGCUGGCGGCAGGCCUAACACAUGCAAGUCGAGCGGAGAGGCGGACGGGGGAGUAAUGUCUGGGAAACUGCCUGAGGGAGGGGGAGAACGACUGGAAACGGUAGCUAAUACCGCCAACAAUCCGGUUAGCCCAGGUCGGAUUUGCUAGUUGGUGGGGUAAAGGCCUACCAAGGCGACGAGCCGUAACUGGGCUGAGAGGAUGAUCAGUCACACUGGAACUGAGACACGGGCCAGACUCCUACGGGAGGCAGCAGUGGGGAAUAUUGGACAAUGGGCGAAAGCCUGAUCCAGCCAUGCCGCGUGUGUGAAGAAGGUCUUCGGAUUGUAAAGCACUUUAAGUUGGGAGGCGUUACCAACAGAAUAAGCACCGGCUAACUCCGUGCCAGCAGCCGCGGUAAUAC
rnacentral:rRNA from 1 species